GACGAACGCUUGCGACGUGCCUAAGAAAUGCAAGUCGAGCGAGGUAGCAAUACCUAGCGGCGAACGGUCGCGUAACACGUAAGCAACCUGCCCCAAAGACCGGGACAACGUUCCGAAAGG
rnacentral:rRNA from 1 species